GAGUUUGAUCAUGGCUCAGAACGAACGCUGGCGGCAGGCUUAACACAUGCAAGUCGAGCGCUGUAGCAAUACAGAGCGGCGCACGGGAGAGUAAUACGUGGGAACCUACCUUUUGGUUCGGAAUAACGUCGGGAAACUGACGCUAAUACCGGAUAAGCCCUUACGGGGAAAGAUUUAUCGCCGAUAGAUGGGCCCACGUUGGAUUAGCUAGUUGGUGAGGUAACGGCUCACCAAGGCAACGAUCCAUAGCUGGUCUGAGAGGAUGAUCAGCCUCACUGGGACUGAGACACGGCCCAGACUCCUACGGGAGGCAGCAGUGGGGAAUAUUGGACAAUGGGGGCAACCCUGAUCCAGCCAUGCCGCGUGAGUGAUGAAGGCCUUCGGUUGUAAAGCUCUUUGCAGGGACGAUGAUGACGGUACCCUGAGAAUAAGCUCCGGCUAACUUCGUGCCAGCAGCCGCCGUAA
rnacentral:rRNA from 1 species